rnacentral:rRNA from 1 species
UGGGGAAUAUUGCACAAUGGGCGCAAGCCUGAUGCAGCCAUGCCGCGUGUAUGAAGAAGGCCUUCGGGUUGUAAAGUACUUUCAGCGGGGAGGAAGGGAGUAAAGUUAAUACCUUUGCUCAUUGACGUUACCCGCAGAAGAAGCACCGGCUAACUCCGUGCCAGCAGCCGCGGUAAUACGGAGGGUGCAAGCGUUAAUCGGAAUUACUGGGCGUAAAGCGCACGCAGGCGGUUUGUUAAGUCAGAUGUGAAAUCCCCGGGCUCAACCUGUGAACUGCAUCUGAUACUGGCAAGCUUGAGUCUCGUAGAGGGGGGUAGAAUUCCAGGUGUAGCCGUGAAAUGCGUAGAGAUCUGGAGGAAUACCGGUGGCGAAGGCGGCCCCCUGGACGAAGACUGACGCUCAGGUGCGAAAGAGUGGGGAGCAAACAGG